AAAAAAAAAUCUCUAAUUUUAUUGUAAUAAGCUAUUGCUCGCGGAUUAAUAAAAAAAGGUACGCGCGUGAAAAAACGUGUCCGUCCUUCGCCCCCCUCACGUGCUAGUGAAUCAAUCACUUUUUUCAGGUAAUUGGGCUCAGUCAACGAGAGUUUUGACCAUUCGCUUUACUAAUUACUACAAAUUUGCCCCUGCCGCAUCCAAGUGAAAUUCAAUUAUUGCUUAUUUCAGCAAUUAUCUCAUACACCAACUCUCAUCCUAACAUCAACAAAGUCUUCUCUUCUCACCGCUAUAUCCCCCAUUUUGACAACGUCAACGCCCAAGCAGCAUGAGCCGGAUCAGCAACUUCCAUGCGGAUUCGGGACUCCUACACACGCGGCCAUAGGGCGGAGAAAUUGUUGGUGUUACAGAGAUGCGGUCAUCCAAAUUACUGUUUGCAAAAAGGGACACG
rnacentral:misc_RNA from 1 species